ensembl:lncRNA
GGGGGGGGGGGGGGGGGGGGGGGGGGGGGGGGGGGGGGGGGGGGGGGGGGGGGGGGGGGGGGGGGGGGGGGGGGGGGGGGGGGGGGGGGGGGGGGGGGGGGGGGGGGGGGGGGGGCCCCCCCCCCCAGUUAACAGCUCGCCCGCGGGUGUGGUGACUUCGCACAGGACCCCACAAAUCCCAGCACACGCUGCCGGGAGCCCUGCGGGGAGCUGCGGUCCCGGCCGUGCCCCCCCCACCCCCGGCCCUGCCCUUAUCCCGGUGACACUCGUGUCCUCCUAUUAACCCUGUGGAGAGGGGACAAAAGCUAAACUAUGAUCCUGCGCUGCUUCCCCCCCAUCCCGCUGCCGGCUGCGUGAGCUUCACAUCCUCCUGCUAAGGCUGAAAGGAACAAGAACAAGAGCUGCUGAUGGUUGAAAGGGAAGAGGUGGUGGAUCCAAGGAAGCUCGGAACAGUGGGAUGGAAAACGUCUCCAGUGGGCAGGCACCUAGGACAGAAGAUCCCAGCCCUGGUUUGCUGCUCUUUUGCUGAAGCAGCUCAGGCUCUCCCUCCCUCAUGGCCAGAGUGGAAAAGCACGUUUAAAUCCCGAGCUCGCCUUUCCCACGUGGUGUCUCGCUGAGCUGCUGUCAAAGCCACGCCGCGCUCUCACAGGGCACCGGAGCUUCUUCCCUGCCCUGCCGGGGAGGCACAAGGUGAUGGACAUUUUUAACUAAACCGUAUUUUCGGGACACCUCACUAAACCCCAAACUUGUGCUGAAAAAUUUGCUCUCCUCGUGAUCAGGCUCCAACUUUUUAAUUCCACCUGGACCGAGUGUACAAAUAAUGAGGGGAGUAAAGGUGUGCUCCCCCUUCCUGGGUGCCUGCUGAAGGGGUGGAUGUUUGUCAGCGAUUUGGGGGUUAAUUCAGACAAGUUUAUUUCACAUUCUGAGUCUUCAUACACGCAAAGGGCACGCAUGGUUUGGGGUGAGGGAUUAGCGGUGUUUGCAGGGGGACAAACCCAAUUGUGGAUAUGAAUAUGGGAUGUACUGGAUCUGUGCCUAAGCACUAAAUCGAGGGGGGGCUGGGUUUUAGGUGACUUUUCACCCCAUUCCGAGAUCGUGGUCACAAUGUACCGUGUUUCAACACUCAUUGGGGAGAAAGGGACACACAGGGGAGGCAGAGCAGUACCCCAAAUUACAUCUGCGCUUCAGACCGCGCUGCAGUCUCCAAGGGACUGUGUCCCCAACCUUUAAUUAUUCCGCUUAAACAGGCCUAGAGCACGCCACAUUUUUAAGGCCUUUUCCCUGGUGUCUCUAGGAGGCAGCCUUCAUCGAGCGAGGAGAGCAAAUCUUGGCAAGAAGAGCGCCGAAGGAUGUGAACCCCUUGGAAAAUUCCACUUCCUGCCCGGCACUGCGUGUCCUUGGGUCUCUCACUCAUUCCCAUGCACUUAACGAGGGAUUUCUGCCUCAGGCUACCACACCAACUUUCUAAAUAAAUGCCGCGCACACCCGAGCGCGGUGCUCUGCAGUUAAUCUCAGCCCAACACCAGCUCUCUCUCCUCUCUUCCUACUUCCCUCCAUUUUAUUUCUCCGCUGGUUUUUCUCUCCAGCAGGCUCCUACUCUCUCUCCUGCGGAACUUGCCGGGAACAAAAGGCUCCGUUCCCGAUCCAGCCCGCAGUUGCCGUGAGAAACUUCCUCGCCAGCGCUGUCUGUCGCUCCGCUCUCCCUCCCUCGCUCCCUCCCUGCCUCGGGAAAAUGGCAGUGCAAGAGCCUGAUGAAAAGGGGGAAAAAACCCUCCUUUCUCAGCGCCUGCCUCUCCUGCAGCACCUCCCCUCCCCAGCCGUGACGCCUGAACUCAAACUUCUCUAAAAUUACACUUUAGGAGG